GUGCCCGUUGCAGGGCUGGAGUCAGGGCCAGACCCAGAGCCCACCCAGGGAAGGGGGACCAGGGUCCCGCAGCAGUUCCUGCAUGGAGAGCGCGAGACCGUGUCCUGCAGUCCCAGGAGUCCCCAUCAUGUGCUCUGUGACACUGGAAGGGUGACUGGCCUGUUCACCUCUGCCGUCAUGUGUCUGCUCCUUUCCUGUGCGGCCUCGGUGACAUAGGAACGAAGGUCAGGGUAUGGCAGGACCCUCCCGA